rnacentral:rRNA from 1 species
GCUUAACCGGAGAAGUGCAUCGGAAACUGGGAGACUUGAGUGCAGAAGAGGACAGUGGAACUCCAUGUGUAGCGGUGGAAUGCGUAGAUAUAUGGAAGAACACCAGUGGCGAAGGCGGCUGUCUAGUCUGUAACUGACGCUGAGGCUCGAAAGCAUGGGUAGCGAACAGGAUUAGAUACCCUGGUAGUCCAUGCCGUAAACGAUGAGUGCUAAGUGUUGGAGGGUUUCCGCCCUUCAGUGCUGCAGCUAACGCAUUAAGCACUCCGCCUGGGGAGUACGACCGCAAGGUUGAAACUCAAAGGAAUUGACGGGGGCCCGCACAAGCGGUGGAGCAUGUGGUUUAAUUCGAAGCUACGCGAAGAACCUUACCAGGUCUUGACAUCUUCUGCCAAUCUUAGAGAUAAGACGUUCCCUUCGGGGACAGAAUGACAGGUGGUGCAUGGUUGUCGUCAGCUCGUGUCGUGAGAUGUUGGGUUAAGUCCCGCAACGAGCGCAACCCUUAUUAUCAGUUGCCAGCAUUCAGUUGGGCACUCUGGUGAGACUGCCGGUGACAAACCGGAGGAAGGUGGGGAUGACGUCAAAUCAUCAUGCCCCUUAUGACCUGGGCUACACACGUGCUACAAUGGAUGGUACAACG